AUAGAACACGGUUGGAAUGAAAUCGUCCAAUAUUCAACCAAUCCAGAGGGUCGGCGGAAAAGAUAGCGUGAUAUUGAAGAUCACAUUACAGCCGUAGAUUAGUUUCCACCGCCUCAAUUCGAUGGUCCGAUUCUUUCACUCGCAUCAAAUCUCACGUAUAAAUAGCUAUUAACUCGUACCCAUUUUAUGCAAUAAUUUUUGCAGGCGGGUCAUCUGUAUGGGGGAUGUUUCUGCAACUUCUUCGGCAGGGCUCGCUCGGAUAACAAAUGGUUCAAUUCCUACAAUGGCUGUAUGGAGGAAAUUGAGUUUUUCGUUCUAUUAUUAGUGUUUUUCGAGUUUUGUCGCUAUUUAGGUUUUAGGGUUUGAUGCUUGUUCUGUUCAACAGAAAUACUUACUGGCCCUAAGCUUUUCUCUGGUUCUGACAACAAUGAUUUGCAUGCUUCUCACUGAGGUCGGGCAGAUCAAGUGUUUCCACGGCCCAUGCUUUUUCAAUUCGUAACUAUGGUGAAUUUUUUGAUUGCAAUAUAAUGAACACUGACACGAGUUAACAGAUUAUACACGAAGGAGGGACGACACCUAGCCAGAUCUCUCUCUCUUUAAUUAAGAACAUGGGGGUAUUAUUUAUUUCUGUGAUAUAAUUGUGCUGCUGUGUCACGUUUUCUUCAUGUGUAGGCCGAUUGAGUGAAAAAUUAGGUGUGUCAAAUAAAGACAUGGAUAAUUCUUAAGAAAGUACACUACGAUCUAAAUUUCUUCGUCGGCCUCGGUUUUUAUGAGACUGUCGUCUUUGCGGUUUGUUGUUGUGUAUUUUUGGUUUUCCUUUUCCCUUAUUCUCUCUUGAAGAAAGAUUUUAGUCUUUAGGAGAUCUUCCCUAACCAAGGGUUUGUUGCGUUUAUGCUAUGGAGGGGUGACCUGACCAGCUGCAGCGAAAGUGAUGCCCAAUUUAUCUUUAUCAUCGAUGAGGUGAUGAAAGACAACUGAAGUCCCGUCGUGGGAUAGUCUAACGGUAGAUAAGGUGAUGUUCAUCCGAAGGAGAAGCCAGCCAGAAUUAACGGGUUAUAAUGCUUCGAAUUUGAGUACUAUCUCUCCCUUCAAUCUCUCUUUUUCUUCACUAUAUAUUGGCCGAUUUGUAGAGAUUACUUAUUGUAGGGUAAUAAGGUAGAUUGAAUGGAACUAAAACUAGCAUAUAGUUAUAUAUGGUUUACGGUAUUUGGGGGUUUCACCAUAAUCAUUCGUGUGGUGCAACCUGGGUUGCGAGUUUGGCAGAUUGACCGUGUUUUUAUUUUCUAGCAAUGAGGGUUUAACAACGAUCAUUGAAGCAUGAUGGUUUGUAAGUUUUAUGCGUAAUUUGGAACCUAUUUUAACAUAAAAAUUUGAUAUUAUCCAAAAUAAUUUGAAAUAUUUAUCUUGUAAGCUUUCAUGGAAAGCAAUAGAUUUUCUUUGCUUACGGUUGGUAUGGCGUCAAGGGUGUUGUGUCAUCAUAGGUCUUGAGCGAAAAUAUUGAUGGCCGUGGAGUGAAAUCACCCCUGGUAAUCUGUAAGUAACUUCUUAUUAGCAUAAGUUUUCUUAACAUUUUAACUUGCUCCUACAGUUGCGUUAAGUAAGGAUUAAAACAGUUGUAUGGGGGAAAGAUUCAGAAGGUAAUCAUGGUACGGUAUGUGAAGAAACUUUAUUGGUUUGUGCAUCUGUGCAUCUUAAUAGUGGAUGCGUACUUCAUUAGGAUCUUUGAAACGCUAAUUGCUUAUAUACCUUUUUCACCCUAAAUUUUAUCAUUUGCAUUUACUUUUAUGCUAGGAUGUAGCCGUUUAUUUUCGGCAGGUAGUUUCGAACAGUGGAAAUCAGAGACUGAGGGACAGAUGUGUGCGCUUCAUUAGUUGUUAUCGAUUACCAUUAAGUAAAUUAGAGUUUAGUAAGUAAGUUUGUUUCAGCUUAUUUGGUUGAGAGGUCUUAACUUUGUGGAGAACUGAGGACUCAAAUCUGUUUUCCCUAGGUAAGAAAGAGUGCUCCAGAGUGCACAUGGAUUUCAGCUAUGGAAACAAACAGUUAAAUUUCGACGUUGGUUUGUGUAUUUGUAUGGUGGAGGUUUUGGUGUAUCUGAAUGGUGGAUGUCUACUUCAUUACAGGCAGGGAUCUUUGAAGCCCUAAUCUGUGGUACCAUAGUCACCUUUAUGUAUCAUUUGCAUUUACUUUUAAGCUAGGAUGCAGUCGUUUAUCUUCGGCAGGUAGUUCCGAGCAGUGGAAAUCAGAGACUGCGGAACAGAGUUGUGCACUUGAUAGCCGAUUACCAUCAAGUAAAUCCAUGUUUUGUAAGUGAAAAGGUGGAUGUCUACUGUAUUAAGGAAGGGAUCUUUGAAACUUCGGCAGGUAGUUCCGAGCAGUGGAAAUCAGAGAAUGCGAAGCAGGGUUUGCGCCUGAUCGCCGAUUACCAGUAAGAUGGUGGAUGUCUACUUCAUUGCAGGAAGGGAUCUUUGAAAAACCCUAAUCGGUUGUACCAUAGUCAACUUUAUAUAUCAUUUGCAUUGGAUCUUUGAAAAACCCUAAUAGGUUGUACCAUAGUCAACUUUAUAUAUCAUUUGCAUUUACUUUUAAGCUAGGAUUUAGUAGUUUAUCUUCGGCAGGUAGCUCGGAGCAGUGGAAAUCAGAGACUGCGGAACAGAGAUGUGCGCUUGAUCGCCGAUUACCACUAGUUAAAUCGAAGUUUAGGUAGUUCGGAGCAGUGGAAAUCAGAGACUGCGGAACAGAGAUGUGCGCUUGAUCGCCGAUUACCACUAAGUAAAUCAAAGUUUUGUAAGUAAAAUGUUGUAUGUCGUUUAUUACAGGAAGGGAUAUUUGUAACCCUAAUCGGUUGUAGCAUAGCCAACGUUGUAUCAUUUGCAUUUACUUUUAAGCUAGGAUGUAGUCGGUUAUCUUCUGCAGGUAUUUACGAACAGUGGAAAUCAGAGACUGCGGAACAGAGUUGUGCUUGAUUGCCGAUUAAACCACCAAGUAAAUCAAAGUUUUGUAAGUAGAUUCGUUUCAGUUUAUCUCGUCAUGAGGUCUAGGACACAAAUCUGUUGUCUUCCUUAGGUAAGAUAGAAUGCUCCAGAGUGCAUAUGGAUUUCAGCUAUGGAAACACACAAUCAAAUUUCGACAGUGGGAUUCCAAAUUUUUUUUUUACUUUAUUUUAAAUUGAGUGCUGGGUUUUUAAAUGUUAGCAUUUGACUUAUUUGAUACCGACUGAAGUUAAUGCAGUGAAGUAACUGGAUUUACGUGUACGGUGCCUAGUAGCUCUCACAGCCUAACAAUCAAUGUGAAUUAAAGUGGUGCAAUAUACAUGUUCCCUUUCGUCCAUUGUAAACUGUUAUCUGUUCUUGAGGUAAUUAGAAAGCUUUUGACUGGUUUAGCUGCAGUUUUUAUAAUUUUGAGCCUUUUUUUAUUGAGAGGUGGGAACUGAGAAGAAGCUGUUGUAUGUUGUAAGUGGAUUGUGGCAGGCUUGUAGUUUUGUUUUCUUGCAUGGAAUGGUGUAAAGUCUUAAUUUGAUAAAGGAUGAAUCAAUUCUUUUAUUUUUGGGUUAAUAGGUAUAUUACAGGGAAGAGAGUGCCCACGGUGGAGAUGGAUUUGGUGUUUUAAUCUAUUAAACAAUGCAACUUCUAGUUUUGGAAGGAGGAUAAGAACUUCUUAACUCACUGAUUUGAAUUCAAAGCUGUCGCUGCAAUUAUUUUUCUGCUUUUGUUUUCUUGCAUUGAACGAUGUGAAGUCUUAACUUGAUAAAGUAUGAAUCAAUUCUUCUAUUUUUGGGUUAAUAGGUAUGUACAUGGAAGAGAGUGCCCACAAUGGACAUGGAUUUGGUGUUUCAAGAUAUAAAACACUUCAACUUCUAGUAUUUGAAGGAGGAUAAGAACUUCUUAACUCCUUGAUUUGAAUUCAAAGUUGUCUCUACAAUUAGUUAAAAGAAUUCAUUUGAUCUUAUUUUUGUUAGAAUAUUGCCAUUGUUUACAGAAAACAAUGUUCUGUCUAUAUAUGGAAGAGAGCGUCCACAGUGGACAUGGAUUUGGUGUUUCAAGCUAUAAAACAAUGAAACAUCUAGUUUUGGAAGGAGAAUAAGAACUUCUACUCCCUGAUUUAAAUUCAAAGUUGUUUCUGCAAUUAGUUUAAAGAAUUGAUUUGAUCUUAGUUUUGUUAGAAUUUUGUCAUUAUUUAUUUAAAUUCAAAAUUGUUUCUGCAAUUAGUUUAAAGAAUUGAUUUGAUCUUAGUUUUGUUAGAAUUUUGUCAUUAUUUAUUUAAAUUCAAAGUUGUUUCUGCAAUUAGUUUAAAGAAUUGAUUUGAUCUUAGUUUUGUUAGAAUUUUGUCAUUAUUUAAAAAAACAAUGUUUUCUGUCUAUAACAGAUGUUGAGGCAGUAGCCAACUUAAACACAGCGUUGAACAGUCGUUGUAUGAUCUGACCUAUGUUAUUACAGUGAAGUAACAAGAAUUAAGUGGUACAAUUUUUAUUUCUUUGCUAGAAGUAAUAAUGUAGUGCAAUGUCUUGUUUCUUACAACGCCUGUUUUCUUUUCUUUGUACCCACUGUAGUGUGUUUUGUUGGAGUACUUGAUUGGUCCAGGUUUCUGAAGGAAGGUUGACGUAAUGAUUAAUCUGCUUAAAAAGGUUUUUUAGUCGGGUUAAUAGGUAUGUACAUGGAAGAGAGUGCCCACAGUGGACAUGGAUUUGGUGUUUCAAGCUAUAAAACAAUUCAACUUUAGUUUUGGAAACUGGUUUGAAUUUAAAGUUGUCUAAAAUUAGUUAAAAAAUUCAUUUGAUCUUUAGUUUUGUUAGAAUUCUGUCAUUGUUUACAGAAAGCAUCGUUCUGUCUAUAAAAACUAUUUUUGAGUCACUCUUAUCUGGAAGUGAUUGGAAGUCUUCACGUAGCAGAGAAGGGUUAAGUUGUAAUUAUAUCGAAGGAAGGGUGUAAGUUGUAAUUUAAUGUGUUUCUCUUUGAGGAAUUUUGUUCUUAAUAGAGCUUGAUUUCGAGGGGGAGCGUAUCAUUUGUGUAAACCAGCCUACUUUACUGUGUAGUCCUAGCAUCAGCAGUUGGGGUGGAAAACAAUAUGAAUGGGCUUUUGAGUUAUUGAAAUUAUCAAUUACGUGUAAAGCAAAUAGAAGUUAAAUUUCUUAUUAAGAUUUUAGAGGAGUUAGAUUUUUAUUCCCAUCGAACAAAUGGGAGAAACAGAAAAACAACUAACAUUUCAUUUCCCUUCUUUUUUAUCUUAGGCUUACAUGAAAGGAUUUUACAGGGAAGAGAGCGUUUUGCAGUGGAGUUGUUUUAUAAAUGUUUUGAUCCUGCCCUUUUCUUCAGUGUUGAAUACAACAACAAUUUGGAAAUAGGUAGUGUGAUGUUUAUACGCAUUCUUUAUAUAGAUUGGUGAGAUAUGCUUAUCAUUGUUAUCGUACUCUAUAGGGAGGGUGGUGCUUGAUUAUAUUAUACCAGUUCAAGUAAAUUUUUAAGGAUAUACGUCUCCAUUUACUCUGAACUCUGGUUUCUUUUUCGCAUAAUUGCGAAUUGCAGUCACUUGUGUAUUGACUCUUACCUAGGUUAUUGCGGUGAAGCGGUAUGUUGUUUUUUCGCGUUUACUUUUGGCAGUAGAAAGUCGUCUACAGUCAAUUUUACACGACAGGUUUGUUCGUGAGUUGACGAGCUUAUUUGAGUGAUAUCGUACACAUUGUUUUAUUGGGUGUACUGCUAUUUGAAACAUGUAUAGCUUUAUAAUUUCUGCAUUUUUUAACCCUUUUUUCUUACUGUGUUGUAUCUAGUGUUACUCUUUUAUCUAUUGUUAAGCAAACAGUAUGUCAUGUUGGUAUUUAAUCCUUUCAGAUAGUCGUUAUGUUUCAGCUUUUGCAAAUUUUUUGCUGAACUGUUGAGUCGCAAUAGAUCUUGCUCUUCUGGAGAGCAUUUCUCUUGUCCGUAAGAGGUAGAUCAGCUUGAUAGUUAGGUGGAUGAUAGAGUCUAUGUAUACUUCAACAUAACCUGGAGCCUUAUCUGGAUAGUAGGAUGAAGCUGAAAAUUGAAUGUAAGGUUAUUAUAAAGAUCUGAAAGUUUGUUCGAAAGAUUAUUGUCGACAGUCUAGUUGAUAAAAUUAUUACUAGUGUUCUAUUCCCAUUGAACAGAUGCGAGAAAUGACAAUAGGAAACAUUUCAUUCUGGAUAAAUGUUGAAUUCAUUUUUUAAUUUUUCGGCUUAUAACUGAUAUGUAUUCAGCGCUGUCUUUGAUGACAGCCUACAAUUUUUGCAGUGGGAUGUCAAUUUCACUUCCUGAUAUGUGAAUACAGUGCUGUCUCUGAUGAAAGAAUUCUUUCUAAAGUUUUGUAAGCAUUGUACCUUUAGUUAAUGUGAAACGUUGUACUUUGUUUGUACAGAUGAGUUGGCAAGCCCAACGUGGCUUUGCGUAUGCGCGGAAUUGGCUAUAUGCUUAAUCAUUCAUUAGUAGCCCUUUUCUGCUGGGUGUUAAGGAUUUGUUACAGUUUUCUCGAGCGGUGUCCAAUUUUGUCAGUAGGAUGUCAAUUUCUUUUCCUGGAUGUGAAUUCAGCGGUGUCUUUGAAUCUAAGUCUUUUAAAAGUUUUUGGAAGCAUUGUGUGUGCCUUUUGGUUUAUGCAAAAUAUUGAACUUUGUUUGUACAGAUGAGUUGGCAAGCCCAAGGUGGCUUCGUUGGCUUUGCAUAUGGCUUCGUUGGCUUUGCAUAUGGCUUCGUUGGCUUUGCAUGUGUGGAAUUGGAUAUAUGCGUGAUCAUUCAUUAUCAGUUCAUUCUCCUGGGUUCUAAAGGAUUUGUGACAGUUUUCUCGAGCAGUGUCCAAUUUUGUUAGUUGGAUUGCCAAUUGCUCUUAGUGAUAUGAAUUCAGCUGUCUUUGAUUAAAGAAUCUCUAUAUCUCAAAAUGUUGCACUUUGUUUGUACAGAUGAGGAUUUGGAAAGCACAGGGUGUCUUUUGGUUUAUUAUGCAAAUGUGUGGAAUUGGAUAUAUGCGUGAUCAUUCAUUAUUUUCUUUCUCUACGGCUCUAAAGGUUUUGUGACAGUUUUCUCGAGCAGCGUCCAAUUUUGGCAGUAGGAUUGUCAAUUGCUCUUCUUGAUUUGAAUUCAGCGCCGUCUUCGAUGAAAGAAUGUCUCUAUAGGUUUUAAGCAUUGUGCCUUUGGUUUAUGCAAAACGUUGUGCUUUGUUUGUACAGAUGAGUUGGUGGCAAGCACAGGAUGUCUUUAUGCUUGAUCAAUUCAUUUUCAGCCCUAUUCUGUUGAAUUCUUAAGGAUUUGUGACAUUUUUCUCGAAAUUUUCUUUACUGAGGUGAGUUAGCAACUACACCUGGAAGUUAUACAUAUUUGGGGUGAUGGGCUGUGUUUGUGCAAGACUAGUUCCCAAUAGAGUUUAAAGGAUUUGCGAAUAUGUUAAUUUUCUGAAUCCGGCCUUUUGUGAACAUAACUAAUGAAAAAAAGGGCAUUCAAUUUGAUUAUGUGCAGUGACUAGUUAAUUUCUAUAGUGAACGGUGGGUUAGCAACCACACGUGGAAAUUUUAUAUGGUUGGUGUUAUUGCCUAUGCUUGAAUUUUAUAUAGUCGGUGUAAUCAAGUUCCAAUGGAGUUUAAUGGAUUUGCGAAUCUGUUAAUUUCUGAACCUGGUCUUUUAUUGUGAACAGGAUUAAUCAAAGAGCAUUAAAUUUGUUAUUCAAGGUCUCAUCCCACACUCUUUAUGUUUCUUCCAUUGUACAUCUGGAUCGAAGUCGUUUAAGGUUUCAUCCCAUACCAUCUUAUUAUGUUUCUUCUAUUGUACUUCGGGUAGUUGUCUGUAGUGAACUUGACACAUGAAUUUGUUCAUUAGAUACUGAGUUUGUUAUUCGUGCGGGUAUUUUACAAAUUACUGUAGUGAAUGGUUGAAGCACGUGCUACUUGGUUGAGAGUUGAAAAUGAGGAAAGUUGUAGCUGUUGUAGAUUGUUGUGAGUGGCUUUUGCAUACAUGCGGACUUGGGCUUAUAUGCUUGAUCAUUGAUUAUCAGCCCUAUUCUGUUGGGUUCUGAAAGAUUUGUAACAGUUUUUUUGACAAGUGAAUUUUCCGUGACUUGUAGUAACAACAUCUGGCAAGUAUAUAAUAUAGGUGGGAUGAUGGGCUAUGCUUGAUUAUAAACGUUAAUUUUUGAAUCUUGUUUGUUUUGUGAGCUUGAUUAAUCUAAAGAGCAUUCAACUUGUUUUUGACGUCAACUUAGCUUUUUGCAGCGAAAUAAAAGGACGAAGCUUAGAAAGAUUUAUUCCCUCACCACAGUGAAGUAACAAUGAAGGAUAGAAGUGGUGCGAGGUUUCAUGCUUUUACUGUACAAACUUAUUCCCUCACCACAUUGAAAUAACAAUGAAGGAUUUAAGUGAUGCAAGAUUUUUCAUUUUUAACAGGCGUACGAUAUUUUUUCAGUUGGUACUUUUGGUAGUUGUCUGUAGUGAACAUCACAUAUGAAUUCAGUGAUCGAUUUUACAAAUUGUAGUCGGUGAUCGAUUGAUCCAGAUGCAGCUUCAAUGAUUCUGGGCUUCUUAGUUGAGAGCUGGAACUGAGUAAAGUUUUAUCUGUUGCAGAUUGCUGUAAGUGGUGAAGCGUUAAUAAGCAUUUCCCAUUAUAGCGUAGUUCCGAUUAUCCAUGUACUUAAUGUAAGAACAUAAUUUGAAUUUUCCAUGGCCCUAUUUUAUUAGCAGGGUUUUGUGUCCCAUAUAGCGUAGUUCCGAUUAUCCAUGUACUUAAUGGUUGUGAGUUUAUAGGCUUCAGCAUUUGCCCAGUCACCGGCUAAUGAUGCAUCUCCAGUUUUAUUUUGGCAGUUCUAUGGCAACAACUUAUCAUAUUGGUGUCAGAAGAUCGAAUUAAUUAUCAACAACUGCGGUCGUUGAUAGAACACUUUCGAUGUAAGGAUGAUUUAAUAAAAUAGCAGCCUUUUACAAGCUUUCACAA